rnacentral:rRNA from 1 species
AACGCUAGCUACAGGCUUAACACAUGCAAGUCGAGGUGCAGCAUAAAAGUAGCAAUACUUUGGUGGCGACCGGCGCACGGGUGAGUAACGCGUAUGCAACCUACCUAUCAGAGGGGGAUAACCCGGCGAAAGUCGGGCUAAUACCGCAUAAAACAGGGGCACCGCAUGGUGAUAUUUGUUAAAAAUUUAUUGCUGAUAGAUGGGCAUGCGUUCCAUUAGGUAGUUGGAGAGGUAACGGCUCACCAAGCCUACGAUGGAUAGGGGAACUGAGAGGUUGGUCCCCCACACUGGUACUGAGACACGGACCAGACUCCUACGGGAGGCAGCAGUGAGGAAUAUUGGUCAAUGGGCGAGAGCCUGAACCAGCCAAGUCGCGUGAAGGAAGAAGGAUCUAUGGUUCGUAAACUUCUUUUGCAGGGGAAUAAAGUGCAGGACGUGUCCUGUUUUGUAUGUACCCUGAGAAUAAGGAUCGGCUAACUCCGUGCCAGCAGCCGCGGUAAUACGGAGGAUCCGAGCGUUAUCCGGAUUUAUUGGGUUUAAAGGGUGCGUAGGUGGUUUAAUAAGUCAGCGGUGAAAGUUUGCAGCUUAACUGUAAAAAUGCCGUUGAAACUGUUAGACUUGAGUGUAAAUGAGGUAGGCGGAAUGCGUGGUGUAGCGGUGAAAUGCUUAGAUAUCACGAAGAACUCCGAUUG